GACGAACGCUGGCGGCGUGCUUAACACAUGCAAGUCGAACGGAAAGGCCCUGCUUUUGUGGGGUGCUCGAGUGGCGAACGGGUGAGUAACACGUGAGUAACCUGCCCUUGACUUUGGGAUAACUUCAGGAAACUGGGGCUAAUACCGGAUAGGAGCUCCUGCUGCAUGGUGGGGGUUGGAAAGUUUCGGCGGUUGGGGAUGGACUCGCGGCUUAUCAGCUUGUUGGUGGGGUAGUGGCUUACCAAGGCUUUGACUGGUAGCCGGCCUGCGAGGGUGACCGGCCACAUUGGGACUGAGAUACGGCCCAGACUCCUACGGGAGGCAGCAGUGGGGAAUAUUGCACAAUGGGCGGAAGCCUGAUGCAGCAGCGCCGCGUGCGGGAUGACGGCCUUCGGGUUGUAAACCGCUUUCGCCUGUGACGAAGCGUGAGUGACGGUAAUGGGUAAAGAAGCACCGGCUAACUACGUG
rnacentral:rRNA from 1 species